rnacentral:rRNA from 1 species
UGCAGUCGAGCGNAUGGAUUAAGAGCUUGCUCUUAUGAAGUUAGCGGCGGACGGGUGAGUAACACGUGGGUAACCUACCCAUAAGACUGGGAUAACUCCGGGAAACCGGGGCUAAUACCGGAUAAUAUUUUGAACUGCAUAGUUCGAAAUUGAAAGGCGGCUUCGGCUGUCACUUAUGGAUGGACCCGCGUCGCAUUAGCUAGUUGGUGAGGUAACGGCUCACCAAGGCGACGAUGCGUAGCCGACCUGAGAGGGUGAUCGGCCACACUGGGACUGAGACACGGCCCAGACUCCUACGGGAGGCAGCAGUAGGGAAUCUUCCGCAAUGGACGAAAGUCUGACGGAGCAACGCCGCGUGAGUGAUGAAGGCUUUCGGGUCGUAAAACUCUGUUGUUAGGGAAGAACAAGUGCUAGUUGAAUAAGCUGGCACCUUGACGGUACCUAACCAGAAAGCCACGGCUAACUACGUGCCAGCAGCCGCGGUAAUACGUAGGUGGCAAGCGUUAUCCGGAANUAUUGGGCGUAAAGCGCGCGCAGGUGGUUUCUUAANUCUGAUGUGAAAGCCCACGGCUCAACCGUGGAGGGUCAUUGGAAACUGGGAGACUUGAGUGCAGAAGAGGAAAAGUGGAAUUCCAUGUGUAGCGGUGAAAUGC